UACGUAGGGGGCAAGCGUUGUCCGGAAUUAUUGGGCGUAAAGAGCGUGUAGGCGGCCAGAUAAGUCCGCUGUGAAAUCUCGAGGCUCAACUUCGAGCUGUCGGCGGAAACCAUCUGGCUAGAGUCCGGAAGAGGAGAAUGGAAUUCCCGGUGUAGCGGUGAAAUGCGCAGAUAUCGGGAAGAACACCCGUGGCGAAGGCGGUUCUCUGGGAUGGUACUGACGCUGAGACGCGAAAGCGUGGGGAGCGAGCAGG
rnacentral:rRNA from 1 species